AUCGGCGCGGGAGGGGGUUUAAGAUGCUGGCCCGAAAGAGGGCAUUUCGUGACUCGCCCCCUUCCGUUUCCGUUGCUUGCGUAUUUUACGUCCACACCCGUGAACCUUAAUGGGAGGGUUCGCCCUCCUUUUUUUUUAAAACCAAAGCCUGUUGAAACGCAUGUCUUUAGCCCCACGGGGCGAGUAAAAAGUUUAAUACAACUUUCAACAACGGAUCUCUUGGCUUUCGCAUCGAUGAAGGACGCCGCGAAAGUGCGAAACGUAAUGUGAAUUGCAGAAUUCAGUGAAUCAUCGAAUCUUUGAACGCAUCUUGCGCUCCUUGGCAUUCCGAGGAGCAUGCCUGUUUGAGUGUCGUGAAAUCAUCCCUCGACCCGACUCCUCGUUAGAGUUUGGGUUGGAUUUGGACGUCUGCGGGGGCGGUCGCCUCUCGCUCGUCUUUAAAUGCAUCAGCUUGGCCCUCGGGUCGGACCGAUCGACGGUGUGAUAAUAACACAUUGAACGCCGUUUUGGCCCGACCUUCGCGUGGGGUCGCUUCUAAUCCCCGGUCCCUUGGGACCGAUUCGACCAUUUGACCUCAAAUCAGGUAGGACUACCCGCUGAACUUAAGCAUAUCAAUAAGCGGAGGAAAAGAAACUAACCAGGAUUCCCCUAGUAACGGCGAGUGAAGCGGGAAGAGCUCAAAUUUGUAAUCUGGCGGCCCUUGGUCGUCCGAGUUGUAGUCUGGAGAAGCGUCUUCCGCGCCGGACCGUGUACAAGUCCCUUGGAACAGGGCGUCGCAGAGGGUGAGAAUCCCGUCUUUGACACGGAUCGCCGGUGCCUUGUGAUGCGCUCUCGAAGAGUCGAGUUGUUUGGGAAUGCAGCUCAAAUCGGGUGGUAAAUUCCAUCUAAAGCUAAAUAUGGGCGAAAGACCGAUAGCGAACAAGUACCGUGAGGGAAA
rnacentral:rRNA from 1 species